CAGAGAGGUAUAUUAAGACAGGGAACUAUAUGAAGGCCAGAGAGAUAUAUUAAGACAGGGAACUAUAUGAAGGCCAGAGAGGUAUAUUAAGACAGGGAACUAUAUAAAGGCCAGAGAGGUAUAGUAUGACAGGGAACUAUAUAAAGGCCAGAGAGAUAUAUUAAGACAGGGAACUAUAUGAAGGCCAGAGAGAUAUAUUAAGACAGGGAACUAUAUGAAGGCCAGAGAGAUAUAUUAAGACAGGGAACUAUAUGAAGGCCAGAGAGAUAUAUUAAGACAGGGAACUAUAUGAAGGCCAGAGAGAUAUAUUAAGACAGGGAACUAUAUGAAGGCCAGAGAGGUAUAGGAAGACAGGGAACUAACUAUAUGAAGGCUAGAGAGCUAUAUUAA
ensembl:lncRNA